ACGAACGCUGGCGGCAUGCCUCACACAUGCCAGUCGCACGAGACCUUCGGGUCUAGUGGCGCACGGGUGCGUAACGCGUGGGAACCUGCCCUUAGGUUCGGAAUAACUCCCCGAAAGGGGUGCUAAUACCGGAUAAUGUCUUCGGACCAAAGAUUUAUCGCCUUUGGAUGGGCCCGCGUUGGAUUAGCUAGUUGGUAGGGUAAAAGCCUACCAAGGCGACGAUCCAUAGCUGGUCUGAGAGGAUGAUCAGCCACACUGGGACUGAGACACGGCCCAGACUCCUACGGGAGGCAGCAGUGGGGAAUAUUGGACAAUGGGCGAAAGCCUGAUCCAGCAAUGCCGCGUGAGUGAUGAAGGCCUUAGGGUUGUAAAGCUCUUUUACCCGGGAUGAUAAUGACAGUACCGGGAGAAUAAGCUCCGGCUAACUCCGUG
rnacentral:rRNA from 1 species